rnacentral:lncRNA from 1 species
AGGUAAAACUGAUAUUUAGCUAAAACUGGAAAUGGAAUUUGAGCUCUCAGCAGCCAUUAUUGUUGCCAGAACCACAGGUUCCCCUUUUGAUCACAAAUUCUUUUCUCAGACAAUUCACCUCUUUCCUGAUAGGUCCCCCUGUUCACGUCUAUCACCACAAUGACUUUGCUUCUCCAAUACCACUAGUCCUGAAAAGGUCCCAUCUUGGACAACUUACAACCAUCCUAUUCUGCUUUUCUUGACCAAAAGAGAUAUUUUUUGCCCAAAUAUGUAUCUUUUAGCUCCAUGAUUCCUCCUUACAGAAAUUUAGAACAAGUUCUCAGGAACUAAGCAAGAGGCGUUUGAUUGACAUAAUUUGCAUUUAAAUGUGUUCUUCACCAUCACUAAUUAACUAGUGUUUCAGACAAGAUAUAGUACUCAACUUUUAUUCUCUGCUUACUUCAGGGUUGCCAU